CGCGGCAAAAGGUCGCAUAAGAAGAAGGAAAAGGACGCACCGCGGCGUACAAAAAAUAUCAUUAAAUGGACGAAGGAAGAGGAAUUCGCGUUGACUCGGGCGUUUGUCGACAUUUCGGAGGACAAAGAGACCGCAAACUUUCAAACGGGCCCGGUUUUUUGGGAUAGGGUUCGUGCACUCUUCUUUAGCACGUGGGGUCAAGGCGAACAUCGGGACAAAGAUUCCAUUUCUAGCAAAUGGACCGACAUCAACAACAAGUGUCAUGGGUUCCAAGAAGUCUUCCAACGUAACUACGAUAAUCGGCCGAGCGGUGAAGGUGACGUCGGGGUUUUAACGAAGAGUUUGGAGGAGUACGAG
rnacentral:lncRNA from 1 species